CCCUUGACUGACUGUUUCUUGUGUUAAACCACUAGCUCAGAUCUUUCUUAAUUUUCUAGAAAAGAGAGUAUCUUUACCCUGCAGAUGAGAGUCGCAAUGCCCACUCUGUUUCAACAGAGGGCAGUAGGGAACAGCUAAUAGCUGACUUUUCCAAGCUCAGAGAAAAAGUGUAUUUAGGUGAUCUCAAGGCUGGGGUCCUAAAAUAUAGCGCAUCAUGCUUCAUGUGUUCAUGAACUUGAGAGAUCUCUGUGGAGGGAGGGAGGUCCCUGGACAGUCAACAACUCUUAGAUGACUCCUCUUCUCGCGAACAACAGUUUAGCUCUGUGCAACUCACAGAAGGCUUCGUGGAGGAGUUUGGCCUUGAAGAAUGACUAUGAGUUGGCAAAAUAGCUUCGUCCACAGACAACAGCAUGAGCAGAAACAUAGCAACCCAUGGCAAAUCUAGGGGACCACAAGAAGGUAGGUAUUAGCCGAGCAUAGGAUUGGGGUGGGGACACCAGUGACAGAUGCGCUCAGACGCUAUGUGCCACCCUGACGGGUACAGAUGCCACCUCCAAGCUUUGAAUAUCACCCUGAAGACAAUGGGAAGUCACUGAAGGAUUUUGAGCAGGGAGGUAACUUGAUCUGUUAGCCACUCAUGGUUUUGUUUUUAACUGUUUUUAACCAGUAUUGCCAUUUUGGAUUUUAGCCCAUCAGGGGGUAUAUAUACAGAUAUCUCGUAUUUUGAAUUUGCAUCUCCCCUGGUAAGUAAUGAUGUUGCCUAUUUUUUCAUGUGCUUAUUUGGCCAUUUGGAUAUCCUCUUCUGUGAACUGUCUGUUUAAAUCCUUUGCUCACUUUUUAAUUGUGUUGUCUGUCUUCUCACUGAUGUGUAGGCAUUCCCUAUGGAUUCUUUGUCGUGGCUGCUCAUUUGUUAAAUGAUGUCUUUUGAUGAACAAAAGCUUGGACCCAAGGCGACAUCUAGGGCAACUCAGCCGGAGGAACCUUUGAGCUUCAGAAAGAAAAGGGGUUUCCCCUGCAAGGGAAGAGGGAAGGAAGGCGGCCUUCCUGAAGCCUCCGGAGCCAGGGGAGAUGACCUGCAGUCCUCAUCUCAAGGAAAAGGCUGGAAAACAAGGUCUGGGCUAACCUGAGGUUCCCACCUAUUCUGGAACGAGAUGGUUGUUGGGUGGCAUGCUUUAGAAACUGGACUCUGCCAUUCUUAUUUUACUCAUUUCUAUUUCUCUCUCUCUCUCUCUCUCUCUCUCUCUUUUAAAGAUUUUAUUUAUUUAUUUGACAGAAAGAGAGAGAAAAAGUGAGCACAAGUAGGGAGAAGGGCAAAGGGAGAAGGAGAAGCAGGCUCCUCGGGGAGCAGGGAGCCCCACGUGGGGCUUGAUCCCAGGACCCCGGGAUCAUGACCUGAGAUGAAGGCAGACGCUUGGCCCACUGAGCCACCCAGGCAUCCCCUCACUCAUUUCUAUUUCUUAAAAAAUUGUCUUUUUAAACCUUCUAGACAAUUGUGAGUUGGCC
rnacentral:lncRNA from 1 species